AUAGCAGAGUGAAUACCAAACACCGUGACGGGCAGUUCGCUUCGCCUGCCCAAGGAAGAUGGAUCGACCAGACAUACUUCACCUCAUCAUCUGUGUCCCCCCUGGGAGCGCGGAUGGUGUUUUAAAGAAAACGGAAUUCAAGAGGGAUGCAAGGAGGAAGUACUGAGUAGGAAGUAUUAAGAUUGAAGACUAAAUCGGAGGGCAAAGGGGC
rnacentral:misc_RNA from 1 species